rnacentral:misc_RNA from 1 species
GAAAGAGAAAAGGCAAAGAGAGAGUCAAGAGAUAAGAUAGAGAAGAGAGAGGCGGAAUCUGACUCGGUGCUCACCAUUUUUUUCUUUUGUUACUCGCUAGUUCCCUUUAUCACGAGGAUUUUCGAGGGCAGGCUCGUGAUAAAGCGACAUAUAUCGUUCGAUCAUGGGCCUCCGGUUGGCUCGCACUCGGCGGGGCUGGCGGGGGUACUAGGAAAACAAAGAGAGACGGGCUACUCGAGACUUGGGGGUGGCGAAAGGUGAAAUUGGGGUUUGCUAGAACGGUUAAAAGAAAAUUGGACGGGCCUGGCUCCUGUGUAAACACAGAUUUUUCGUCCUCGAACCGUGUUUGCUCGGUUCGUUCUCCGUUGUUGCAUCGAUGAUGCCAGAUACGGCUGGAAGAAAAGAAGAAAAAAGAAAAAAACGACCGUUCUUAGUCCAGUCGUUCACACGGACAGAGAGAAAACGUGAGACAACAACGAAAAGAAAGAAGACAAAAGAGAACAAAAGAAAAGGAAAUUGACUUGAAGGAGAGAGUAAGACAACAAUGAAGUAAGACAGAAGGGGACAGAGAAAACAGGUGAUACAGAGGAAGAAAGAACAAAAGAAAGGAAAAGAGCGAAGACCAGAAUAAGUACGGAUAGUUAAACGUGACAAAGAGAGAACAGUCGACUAGAUUAAAACACAGUUAAUUAUCAAUUAAUUAUAACGUCGUCGUCGUUGUCGUCGUCUUAGCAUCACCAUCACCAUCAUCACCAUUAUCACCAUGAUCGUUGUCGGUGCCGAUGGACGACGAGAGAAUCGUAAGGAAAGCGAGGAACUGAAGUUAAG